GAAGUGGCCCCCGCCCUCCAGAGCCACAUUGUCUCGGUUGGAAUGGAAGCCCAGAGAGAGGCAGGUGCAGGCAGUCACAGAUGCAGGGGGACUAGGCUGUGGCCGGCAGCCUCCACCUCGGAGGAACAAUUCUGGUGAGUUUGGGAGCUCAUGGCUGUUCAGCAGUGAAUUAAGGUCAAAAACGGUGUUGGCUGGUCUUGGAGGCUGAGGAUGUUUGAGGUGGGUCUGGAGGUGGUGACUGGAAAAGAGGUUGGAGGGGGUCAGAAGCGGGAAGAAGGGGUGCCCCUGUGUCUGUUCCAUGCAAACGCUGUUGAAACAAGAGCCAGAUCCGGGGACUGCCACGGGCAGUUCACCUCUUUCUUGAGUCGAUCCCUAGUUUCCUGGAUUCUGUGUCUUUCUUGCUUUAGCCCUGGCUUUGGUUGGUAUAUUCUCUAGAACCUUGAUAGGUAAGGGUACAUCUUUGAGACUUUGCUAGUGGAAAAAUGUCUAUUUUACUUUCACACUUUAUCGUUGGAUAGAGAAUCAAGAUGGAAAGUCACUUGUCCUCGGUAUUUUGAAUGCACAGCUGUCCCCUCCGGCUCCCGUUGUCAGCACUGGGAACCCAGUUCCAUGCUGGUUUACGACGAAUGUGUAUGAAAAGAACUAUCACCUCGGUCAAGAAAUGAAAGAUGGCCAGCUGCCCAGAGCCCAACCCCCAUCCCAGGCUGGUCCCUGCUCCGAGGUCACGACCAUUUUGACUGCCGUGGUCACCAUCUUCUUGACUUUCUUUGUAGUUUUCUCCCAGGUUUGUGGCAUUUGAAAAACCUUCUUACUGCCAUUUUAUUAAUACAUGUGUGUAACCUACCAUCUUUAACCUGAAGAGUUCC